CUGAGUUCCACUGGACUCCCACCCUGUGUGAUUCGACUCGCGAACCACUUUGUUGCCUCGGCAGAAAACAGUGGUUGAGACCUGCCCCCUAGCGGUGCGGGCUCCCAUCAGCUGCCGAGCGAGCAAAAACUCUUUUUGUAAUUGUUGGCAUCUCUGAGUAGCUUUUGCAAUAAGUCA
rnacentral:misc_RNA from 1 species